UGCAAUGAACACGUGAUGUUUAAGAGGACAUGCAUGUUUGCUCCUUGUCUACCAAGAGUAUUCGGUUAGUCAUUACACAUGUAUGAUUUUAAUGAUUUUAUCUCAAGAAAUGAAGCAGUAAUGAAAAGGACAUUUAUCUUUUCUUUAGAGUCUUCUUUCCUCUCCAGGCUCUGGAAGCCCCACAGUCAACCUGCGUAGUCUACCUGUGCUACACACCCUCUGCAACCCAGCACUGCCAUAUCAAAAAUAAACAUUCCGGCUUCCACAAAACGGCUUUGCCCUGCUGAGCGGACCUGAUGGGGCAUUUUCAACAUGCUUAUCAAGGUAUCAAGAUUGGACGGCUGGGACGAGGCCAGAUAAUGACAGAACUUUCCCUCAGAAAAUGUCUUAAAUGUCAUGGAGCGGUUAUUGAAGGCCGUGAUGGGUUGGAUUAAUAUGGACUUGUUUGCACUUGGAAGGAUUACUGAGGCAGUGUGUAAAUGAUGGGUUUACGGGAAUGAAAACAUCAGAAAGAUCUGUUAGGAAGCUACUUAAAUAACCCAGCACAGGAGAGAUGACAGUUUAAACCAAGAGAAGUCGGCUGGAGAUGGAAGAGUAGAUUUGAUGGCUACUUAGGGAAAAGCAAUUGAUGGGACCUGCAGCUUGGUUAGAUGUUGAGGGGAAAGAAGAGAGAAACCUCUGAGGCUUCUGCAUUAGGUAAAUGGGGGAAGGCGGUGAGGUUAUCCAUAAGAGGGAAAAUGCAUGGAAAGCCAGUUUAUGGAGCAGGAGGACGUGUUCCGUUUUGACAUGCUUGACUCGAAGUGUUUUGGAGACACCCAAGAAGGGGACCCAGUGAGCGUUAGGGGAGGGUCUGUCAUGCCCAGAAGAGAGUUAUUAGCUCUCAGGUGGCAGCAGAAGCCAGGGGGUUGAACCAAAUCACACAGAAAGAUUGGAUGCUGUGAGAAAAUAAGGCCACAGAUGAAGUCAUAAUGAAUCCCAACAUUUUAUGACAUGGACCCAGGAACAGAAGACCGCAAAGUGGGCUGGGAUCUGUGAGCCCAGAAAAGCAACGUUCCACCAAAGUCAAGGGAGGCUGGAAUGUCAAAUUGGAGGUGUCUAGGAGUGUCAAAUAUUGCAGAAGGUGUUAAAAAGGACCGAAAAGUGUCUGCUGAGAUUUGCUAUCCAGAAGCACAGCUCAAAAUGGCCUCUGCAGAAUAAAUGGAAUGAGCUAGGUGUGGAACUCCAGGCACAGCGGUCAAUUAAGGGCUGUUCAUUAACAUUUCAAGCACUGCAGAUAGGGCAUCAGGUGCAGCAUAUCCACAGAAUUAAAAUGAAAUUUUCUUCUUAUCAUUAUUAUUAUUCAAGAUUUUUUGAAGAAACACGGUGAUGACCCCAGCCCUGAGGAUCUCACUAAUAUUUUAUUGUUCUUACAUGUCACCAGGAGACUCACGCAAGCAAUCUCACAAAAAGCAAUUCAUAACAAUGGAAACUGCCCCCAGUCACUGAGAAAGGAUCUCUUGGGUUUUAAAAGAUCUUUUCAAUCUUUGAAGUAUUCCCUUGGCCUGGCUAGUUUGGUGUCCCUUGAAGGACUUUUUAUAAAACAUGAGACUUCCUCCACAUUAGGCAUUUGAAAUCCAAUCUUUUUUUUUAAAGUUGCAAAAUACAUAUUUUUUGCAGACCAUCUGUUAUUUAGUAAUGUGCAAAUUACCAAUAAAUAAUUCCAGAUUCUUUUUUUGCAAGCAUAGCUAUAAACAAACUGAUCCACAUGCAGAAAUGGAAGUCAUUUUCUCUUUGAAAAUUCAUUAACUUCUGCACGAUUGGAAGAGCUCGGGAGAGAAGCUUCCCGGCAGAUGUCCAUGAGUGUUAUUACUGUACACAAACAAUAACAUGAGGCCAAACACUGACAUUCUUUGCAAAUCUUCCUCUUGUUUAGCAUUCACUUCAGUGGUCUCAUCAUACGGGGUUUAUACGUGUGACUAUAAAACCCUUUAAGAUGGAUUUAUGUGUAAUAAUCUCAUUUGUUCUUUUAUCUGGCUAAACCAUUGGAAAACUAUGAUUCUUCUCCCAUGAAACAAUAGAGAAUCACAAAUAAAAAUUGCAUUUAAUUUUUUUAUUCCCAAGAAGUUAUUUGGAAACCAAAUUUCCUAAGUA
rnacentral:lncRNA from 1 species